AAUGUACCUGGGCAAGGGUUCA
rnacentral:miRNA from 1 species